CCACCAGUACUACUUUCUAAACACUUCAUCUACAUGGACAGAUGCUCAGAGUAUCUGCAGACGCAACUACACCGAUUUGGCCACCAUUGAAAACACAGCUGAUGUUGAUGCUUUUCUGAGGACUUCCUUAAACUAUACAGGCAAAGCUUGGAUAGGUCUCUAUGAUGAAAGGAUAAACAGCUGGAAAUGGUCCCUAAAUGACAGUAGCUUCUAUGGUCCAGGAGAAUACACAUUUAGAAACUGGAAUGGCGGACAGCCCGACGAUUUUUAUGGACAACAGCACUGUGUUCAAUUUUAUGGACAGGGAAGUUGGGAUGACAUUGGGUGCACAGACAUAAUACCAUUUAUCUGCUAUAAUGGUAUGCUAGGUGGAUCACCAUCCUAUGUUGUCAGUAAUAUGUCACUAAAUUGGAAUGAAGCGCAGAAGUUCUGCAGGGCCAAUUAUGUUGAUCUGGCCAGGUAAGAG